GACGAACGCUGGCGGCGUGCCUAAUACAUGCAAGUUGAGCGAUGAAGAUUGGUGCUUGCACCAAUUUGAAGAGCAGCGAACGGGUGAGUAACGCGUGGGGAAUCUGCCUUUGAGCGGGGGACAACAUUUGGAAACGAAUGCUAAUACCGCAUAGCAACUUUAAACAUAAGUUUUAAGUUUGAAAGAUGCAAUUGCAUCACUCAAAGAUGAUCCCGCGUUGUAUUAGCUAGUUGGUGAGGUAAAGGCUCACCAAGGCGAUGAUACAUAGCCGACCUGAGAGGGUGAUCGGCCACAUUGGGACUGAGACACGGCCCAAACUCCUACGGGAGGCAGCAGUAGGGAAUCUUCGGCAAUGGACGAAAGUCUGACCGAGCAACGCCGCGUGAGUGAAGAAGGGUUUCGGAUCGUAAAACUCUGUUGGUAGAGAAGAACGUUGGUGUGAGUGGAAAGCUCAUCAAGUGACGGUAACUACCCAGAAAGGGACGGCUAACUACGUG
rnacentral:rRNA from 1 species